rnacentral:tRNA from 1 species
GCCACCAUAGCUCAGUUGGUAGAGCGCGCCCAUGGUAAGGGCGAGGUCAGCAGUUCAAUUCUGCUUGGUGGCUCCA